rnacentral:rRNA from 1 species
GACGAACGCUGGCGGCGUGCCUAAUACAUGCAAGUAGAACGCUGAAGCUUGGUGCUUGCACCGAGCGGAUGAGUUGCGAACGGGUGAGUAACGCGUAGGUAACCUGCCUGGUAGCGGGGGAUAACUAUUGGAAACGAUAGCUAAUACCGCAUAACAGUAGAUAUUGCAUGAUAUCUGCUUGAAAGGUGCAAAUGCAUCACUACCAGAUGGACCUGCGUUGUAUUAGCUAGUUGGUGAGGUAACGGCUCACCAAGGCGACGAUACAUAGCCGACCUGAGAGGGUGAUCGGCCACACUGGGACUGAGACACGGCCCAGACUCCUACGGGAGGCAGCAGUAGGGAAUCUUCGGCAAUAGGGGGAACCCUGACCGAGCAACGCCGCGUGAGUGAAGAAGGUUUUCGGAUCGUAAAGCUCUGUUGUAAGAGAAGAACGAGUGUGAGAGUGGAAAGUUCACACUGUGACGGUAUCUUACCAGAAAGGGACGGCUAACUACGUG